UCGGCACCUGCCUAUGCUAUCCAACUGUCCCUGAGGCGGAGAGUUGUUUACUGAACGGAUAGGGCCACCGAGAGACUGCCCUGAAGAGAGUGCUUAGCUAUGUCUCCUAGCAUCAGUUUUUUUGUGGUUCUCUCCAGGGAACAACAAGCAUAAAUUGAAUUGCUCUUAAAAGAGCAGAGUGUUUACAGAAAUAUUGCUUAAAGGCCCCUAUACACUGCGAUUUGGGGCUGUCUCAGACCAGCAGUGACAAUCAUGAGAGUAGAGCUGCAGCAAUGUUAAUCGAGCGAAGGGCGACCUCUAGCUCACUUAGUUAAGUGUGCGCCCCAUGUAGGCUGAGUCCUUUGCAGUGGCUCGGGUUUGAAUCCGACCGGUGGCGUUUUGCAGCUUGUCAUCCCCUCUCUGCCCUCCCCCCUUUCCUGUCUAUCCACUGUUGCUGUCGAAUAAAGGAAAAAGCCCCAAAAAAUAA